rnacentral:rRNA from 1 species
CGGUGGAUAAUACCCCAUGAUUCUUAGUGGUAAAAUGAUAACAAAGUGAUUGUUUAUCGCCUAGGGAUGGGCUCAUGCCUGAUUAGCUAGUUGGUGAGGUAACGGCUCACCAAGGCCACGAUCAGUAGCUGGUUUGAGAGAAUGAACAGCCACAUUGGGAUUGAGAAACGGCCCAAACUCUUUAGGGAGGCUGCAGUGAGGAAUUUUCCGCAAUGGGCGAAAGCCUGACGGAGCAAUGCUGCGUGAAGGAUAUGAAGGACCACACGGUCCGUAAACUUCUUUUCUCAAUGAAGACAUAGACGGUAUUUGAGGAAUAAGCAUCGGCUAACUUCGUGCCAGCAGCCGCGGUAAUACGAGGGAUGCAAGCGUUAUCCGGAAUCACUGGGCGUAAAGCGUCUGCAGGUGGUUCAAGAAGUCUAUGGUUAAAUGUCAGGGCUUAACCCUGGAAAAGCUAUGGAAACUUUUGAACUUGGGUAUAAAUAUAGGUAAAGGGAAUUUUUGGUGUAGCGGUGAAAUGCGUAGAUAUCGAAAGGACCACCAAUGGCGAAGGCACUUUACUAGGCAAUUACCGACACUCAUAGACGAAAGCUAGGGGAGCG